UCAAAGAUCUGCCUGCUUCUGCCUCCUGAAUUCUGGUGUUAAAGGUGUGCGCCACCAUGCCAUGCUUGGUGAAAUAUUCUUCCUAUGCUAUCUGCUCUACUACCUCUACCAUCAGGACAAUAGAACCUAUCUCGAUAAUGUAGUCUUCUAUUUUUUUAAUGUGUCUUCGUCUGUGCACCAUAUGUGUGCUUGCUGCCUGAGGAAGUGGUAAGCCUCCAUGUGGGUGCUAGGAAUAGAACCAGGUCUUUUGCAAGAACAAUAAGUGCCCUUACCCAUGGAGCCAACUCUCCAGCUGGAUAAUGGAGUCUUGACACUGGUUACUCGAGGCCUUUUCUUCUUCUUGGGCAGAGAGUAGAUUAUGAGUAAAAGGCUUAAUUCAGUAAGAUUGAUAUUUUGAUGUCAGCCUGAGCUAAGAGGAAGCCCUGUUUCAAAAGAGAAACAAAUAUUCUAGUACUUGGGAGGAAAAGACAAGUACAUCUUUGUAUUUGAGAGGCCAGCCUUGACAGCCUGGUCUGCAUAUAGUUCCAGGUCAGCCAGGGGUACAUAUCUAGACCAACACACACACACACACACACACACACACACACACACACACACACACACACAACACACACAAAAUCAUGUGAUCAGAUGAGUAAUUAAAAGAUGGGCUAGGUGGUGAUGGUACACACUUUCUUUUUUUGUUGUUGUUGUUUUUCGAGACAGGGUUUCUCUGUGUAGUGCCUAUCCUGGCACUUGCUCUGGAGACCAGGAAGGCCAGGGCUACACAGAGAAACCCUGUCUCGAAAAACUGGAAAAAAAAAGAAAAAGUGAAAGAUGGAAACAAUUCUGGUAAAAAUAGAAUACCUUUACAUUAAGUAUGGGGAAUUCAAACCUGAUGUGAGAGUGAAGUGAACCUGUGAAAACAGGAUUAGUUACCAGUGAAGAUGAGUUUGGUUCAGAUACAUAGGGCUCUUGUAAGUCAAAAAUAGAUAGUAAAACUGGUUGCAUGGACAGUAUAGAAAUAUCAACAAACCUAAUCACCACGGUAGGAUAUGCCUUCUUAUUUCCUGCACCUUUAAUAAAAAUUACGAUCACUCUUCUUCCCCUUUGUUUCACUCCUGCAGGAGCCCCUCAGUUUUUGCUAUCUACUUCAGACACAUCACCUGUUUGCUGCUUUUCC
rnacentral:lncRNA from 1 species